rnacentral:lncRNA from 1 species
GAAAGGAUGUAUCAUCAAUUAACUUCUAUUGUUACCUCUAUUCAAUAAAACUUUCUCAUAGUACUGGAAAUUUGGUUUGAUUCUAUACACUAAUUUGAGAUGGGGCAUUCCCCAGGGUAUCAGUCCGAAGACGUUGUUUCAGUCACAAUUGUCAUUGUCAUUUAGCAUUCCACUGCAUGAUGUAAACAUGAUGUGUCCCAAGUAUGUAAAGCUUAGGUACAUUAACCCAUCUUCCUCCUUCACCUUAUUUUAUUGGGCGCUAUUGAUUUUUAAUACUUCACAACUUAUCUCCUUUUGAUUUUGGUAAGCUCUAAUGAACAUUGACGCUAUGUUAAUGAUGGUUUAAUUUAUCAAUUCAUUUUCUAGCUUUAUAUGAAACUUCCAAGAGUAGUAGGUAGGAAAUCGUUCAUCAUCGGGUGUCCAUUAUUUUCAGCGAAUCAUUCUGUUGUUUUUCCUCUGUUUCAGAUUAGUAUAUCAGGUAGUCCGGUUUAGAUCUGAUAUGGAGACAGAAUUUCUUCAUGAUUAUGAGAACUUUUCCAAUUUUGGCUCACAGGGUAGCGGACUAAACUUGAGUGGGACGUUCUUUGAAAAAGUCAGUGAUCAUGAAUUAGCCUUCCAAGAUGACAUUCCGCAACCAGAUUAUUGGCUCUCACCCCUUGAUGACUAUGGCUCAUCAUCCUUAUCACCACUGCGCUUUCUUUGAGAGGAGACAGCUGUGAUUUUUCGCUUAGAGACUUGAAUCAUGCGUUUGAUGCAACAGAAUUCAAGCCAGAAGAUUUUAACAACUUUGAUUCCUGGAAUUCAGCAACUGAUGAAUUAACAGGAUACCCAGAUUUUCUAUCCAUCAAACAAGAUCCUGAUCAAAACUUUUGUGAUAGUAUACACGAUGCACUAGCUGACUCCUACUCGCAAACAGAAUUUUUUCCAACAGAAGAUGAAAGUCAUAUUGAUGUGGAAACUGUGGAUACUACCUCAGAUGCCUUGGAGCGCAAAAGUGGGCGUCAGUCAUUCCAGCCAUCUGUUUCUUCACCAGUGAGGUCUAACCUUGCAGCCAAACCUGUUAAGCCGUGCUCACUUCUAGAGAAGCAUUUACGAAGCCCUAUCGAGACUAUAAUUAAUGCCGCUCAAAGACCUAACUCUUUAAAUAGCUGUACCAAAUUGAAUAACUGUAGAAUUAUUAGAGAGUCUUCAAUUGAGUCUUCCAGUCCAACUAAGCAUAAUGCUCGCAAGCAUAAAAUCCCCAUUGCUCAAGCUAUCCCAGGCAAAAAA